AUUGAACGCUGGCGGCAUGCUUUACACAUGCAAGUCGAACGGCAGCGCGGGCUUCGGCCUGGCGGCGCGUGGCGAACGGGUGAGUAAUGCAUCGGAACGUGCCCAGUAGUGGGGGAUAGGCCGGCGAAAGCCGGAUUAAUACCGCAUACGACCUGAGGGUGAAAGCGGGGGACCGAAAGGCCUCGCGCUAUUGGAGCGGCCGAUGUCGGAUUAGCUAGUUGGUGGGGUAAAGGCUUACCAAGGCGACGAUCCGUAGCUGGUCUGAGAGGACGACCAGCCACACUGGGACUGAGACACGGCCCAGACUCCUACGGGAGGCAGCAGUGGGGAAUUUUGGACAAUGGGGGCAACCCUGAUCCAGCCAUGCCGCGUGCGGGAAGAAGGCCUUCGGGUUGUAAACCGCUUUUGUUCGGGAAGAAAUCCUCUGGGCUAAUACCCCGGGGGGAUGACGGUACCGGAAGAAUAAGCACCGGCUAACUACGUG
rnacentral:rRNA from 1 species